GCUGUGCACGGCUGAGUUUAUUCUCGUCAGGGCUACAUUUGUGAGUAAUCGGACGGGUGCACUAUAAGAGUCUGUAAAUUGCAUGGAAGUUAAAAGUAGGGCCCUCGGUUUUCGGGUAAAACCCGAUUUAACCCGUUUUUACCCCCCGAUUUUAGUCAAACUGGUUCGGGUUUAACCCGAUAACACCCGUACACAGGACUUCAUUCGCACGCGCGCAAAAUGUGCCCGUCACCGCGACCACUCGCUACUGCAGAAACUACUGCGGUCUACGCUGCGCACCUGGCGACCCGCCAAAAGUCGGAGCACACUACAUUCAAAGGUAUUACCGCGUCCGCUUCGCGUAGCGUUACGCGGCGCCAAUAGAACGUAGUUCGUCUCCCCGUUGCAUGCCCCGUUGGCUUCCUUCGCUUCCUUCCCCACGGAACUCCUCCUCCUUAUGACGCACUCCUCGUGCUGUGUUGCUAGCUCAAAAGAUCAAAAGUCCGCGGUUGGGGCGCCAUCUCCAGAGCAUCUCAUGCAACGUACCCCACCCAGCGUUCGCCAAACCGACCAAUCAGAAGAUUCGCGCGCCGUGUCUGGUGGCUUGUUUCUGUGCCGGUAAACGCGGCUCUUUACUUUCGGACGCUAACGCGUAAAAUGGGACGAAAACGUAAAUCGCUGGAAUCUUGGGCAUCUCAACAUGAAGACCUCGAAGUUGUCACAAAUCGAACAGCUGAGGUCGAGGUGGAUACAUUGGUGUGCAAGUGUUGCUGCAUGGAGAUGGUUACGGAUCCCGCAAAGAAACCGUAUGACCGCAUACGAGAGCACCUCGCAUCAGCAAGGCAUGCAAAGAUGAAAGCAAGGAUGCAUCAACAGCCAACGAUGUUCGACGCAUGCUAUCGCCAACGCGAGCGCGAGAAAAUGACCGAUGGCGCGAUCUACGCAUGUGUUAAAGGUCAGAUAUGCCGAUUUUGAAGUGCCGCAGAACUGAGCGAUACUCGCGCUGUGUGUUCAUUACCGAACACUGAAUAUGUGUGCGAAAUAUCUUGCUCCAACUGUUAGUAGUUUUUUAGAAAACAGUUUUUUUAGUUCCCACGCCCGGCCGUCAGACCGUCGGCAAACCCUGCGCACGGGCGCACCGACGUCACUGCUCUCGGUUUAUCUGUCUUUGGCUUGGCAUGGACUCUUGGCUUGGCUGCUUGGCUUCUUUCGUUUCCUCCUCUGUGCAUCGUACAUAAGCGAACAGCUGUUAUGUUGUUGCUAAGCCGGAAACAAAGCAUGUGAAUGUUUUUUUUUGGCACAGCGUCGUUUGGAAAGUGCACUUCCUUGUUCUGACCUUGCCUUUUAUGGGUUGGAGCGAUAUGAUUCGUGAAUAUGACACGGCGAAGUUGUCGAAGAUGCGAGAGUGCUACGCUGUUAGAACAAUUCAUCGGUGCAUUCAAGUGUUACCUAUUAUAAGCUGCCAAAAGACCAAGCAGUGCGAAGCUCUUGGCUGACAGUGGUGCCUGCUAAUUUCCACUGCAAGGAUUUGGUCCACGAAUGUUAUCAUAGGUUACGCGCGACUCCAGAGGCAAUUUGGAAUCUCGGCACGUAAUCGUCUGAUGAAAAUCCGAGGUGCCCGACGCAUAACAUUUUGAACGUGCCACGGAGGAUCAAGGCAAAAAACGAGAGCAAAAAAUGGUAAGUCGAGGUUUAGAUAUAAAAAAAUAGCAAGCUUAAUGAAUCGAUUGUGCAGCUGUCCCACUGCGCUUGCUCUGAUAUAACCACGAUUAACAACACAAUAGUACUAUUGAUAAUCUAACUUCUGAAUUAUCACAGGUGCACGCUGAAGGCGGAAAUGAAGCAUGAUCUGGCUUGCAUCUGGUCAUGAAGAAAUUGCUAUUGCAGUCCACCUCCACCAACAGACAUUUUGACACCACUUUUAAAUCUGCCCUCAAAGUUACAACCUGUGCUUCGAGGGUGGAAAACAAAGAUUGCCAUUCCGGUUAGCUGCUAUCUCCCAGUUCAAGCACUUUUGUGUCUGGACACUGGUUCCUGUGGAUGGGGUGUUACAAGCUUUACUGUCUGAUAUAGAAGUGAUGAGCAUCCAUAAGGACACAUGCCAGAAAGGGAGUCUCUUUGGGAUGACAAACCCUCAUCACCUCAUGAGGAUACAAUGGUUGACGAAUGGUUCUCAAGCACAUCGGAACUUCAAACAAAUAAUUCGUGAAAAAGCCAGUCAGUGCUAGCACCAGGAAUUGAACGUGGGCCAUCCUGCUACCAGUCAGAGAUGUUCAGUGGUGUAGCCACGGCGGGGCUAGGGGGGGCUCGAGCCCCCCCCCCCCUACCUGCCACGGACCGACCCACACAAAUCGUGCAAAUCCGAGAACAUAAUAUAUGGGGGGGGGGACCAGUGUCACUAUCGCGAAAGUUCUUGCAGUUCAUGGCGUCUAUCUAAGAAGCAUUCUUGAAUGGUUUUCAAAGUAUGAGCUUUUCAAAAUACUUCCAAUCUCGUGACACCACUUCAUUGGUCAUGACAGCCUAUACAUGUAAUCGGACUGUGAACGUCUAAAUCAACUAUUUCGUUCCCUUUUUUAAUCCUCAGUUUGAAGUGUGCACAAGUAUGUGUGUGUUGUCGACACAGGAUAUGCGGGGGGGGGG